AAAAAAAAAAAAAAAAAAAGUAGUCUAAAAUUGGGCUGGAUGUUGUGAGAAAACCAUCUAAGAUUAAGAUCCUUCAUGGUAUGCAUUGGAUGUGUUAUUCACUGAAGGACAGGGAGUUGACUUCCAUUUAUUCCUUCUUGCAUUCAUCCACUUACAUCCACUCAUGGGGCACUGUUAUGUUCCAGGCACUAUGCACCUAUUAGUGUAAUGGAGUUGCUUUCUUUUUAGUGCCCAGCCUGACUUGCGUCUUUUGAAACAAUUGUUUAAAAUCCAUAUGAAGGGAUUUACUCACUUUUAGUGUUUUCUUGUCAUCCCUCUUCUGAUUGGAUAAUUCUUCACCAUCUCCCUCUCUGUCUCCACUGUUCUCUUUAGUGAUAAUUACUUCUGCCUGAGGCAGCUAUUUGAAGAGAUCAUCAGUUUUCCUAAAUUCCUUUAUUAUGGCUCAGUUGGGAUUAUCCUGGAAAAAUGAACCUGCAAUUUCCCAUCACACCUUAAAGAACUGGGUUCUCCCUUUUGCUGCUGGAAUCAGGAGAAUGUUGCAGAGGAAUUGCAUUCCUGGUAACACGAUAACCCAGCAAGACUCAGACUGCUAACCCAAGGAUCAACUAUUAAGGCCGUAAGAUUGAAGAAGCUGAAUAAUUGGAUUCCAUUUAGCUGGACUAAUUUUAUGCUGAGAAUUUCAGGGGAUUUUAUCUGCCUUUUGAUCUCUUUACAAUGGUUAUAGUAAGCUCAUAGUAAGAGGCAUAACCGUCUCUUAGGGGUGCAAAUUAAGUAAGUCCCUACACUCUCAUCUACAAGGGAGGGCUGUGGAUAGACCCCAUUAGGGAUAUUCUGUUUUUUUCUAUGCAUUGUAGUCAGUCCAGGUGCCAGAUUUGUUGGGGUGACCUGCCAUGUAUGUGAUACUUUAAAUACAUCUUACUUGAUGAGAGUUACUAUUGGUCUUAUUUCACAGAGAAGAUAACUGAUACUUAGACUGGUUAAAUAACCACCAGGCUCCAGGUGUAUGGGCCUUUGCACUGCAUCAUGCUCCUUAAUAGAGAGAUGGGGCUGUUGCAUCAGGAAAAUAGUUCUUGGAAAGCAAGGAAAUACUUGUCCAGAGAGAGAGAUAAUGAGCACCCAGAGAAAAGACAUGAGUGUGAGCCAACUUAUGUUCAGAGCAAUCCCAAAGGGGAGUGUUUGUGCAUAUAUGUGUGGAUCUAUGAGAGGCAUGAGAUUGGUGUUGUAUCGCCAUUUUCCUGAUGGGGAAAUUGAGUGACACAGAUUAUGUGGCCAUAGUCAAUGUUCAUUUUAUGUGGCAGUUGUGCUUCUGGAAAUAAUCUCACAGAUAAAGUUGUAAGAUGGGAGAAUCCAAUAUCAUGUAAUAUGUUUUCACAGAAGCUGCAGAGUGAAUUUUUGCAUUUUAUCAACACUAAUGUUCAGAUUAGUUUGGACGCUUUUAUAAAAUAAAUCAUGACUGUCACACAUUGACCCUUCUAAACCUGCUCAGCUCGGUUUUCUGCUGAUUGUCGGUAUUGAGCUCACUUCUGUAAAACCGAUGAGAUUGCUACUUUUAGCUUCAUUUAUUUUUAGGUUUUUUUUUUUUUUUCUUCUGAAGCUAUAUUGAAACUUAUGUAAAAAUCUAACUGAAGCAUAUAACAAGCACUGGUGUAUGCUUGCCUGGGAGCUGCCCCGGAGCAAGAGGAGACAGUCUUGUCUUAUCAAGUAUGAGAGGGUGCUGGAGGUUUCUUAGUGGUUUUCUUCAAAGUUGUAUGUUGAGGAUAUAUAACACUUGCAAAGAAAAAAAUACAAAUAUAGGGAAAGUCAGAUGUAUAUGGUAUGUAAAUGAUUUCUUAAUGGGCUCUUAGUGAAUCCUGAAGAACCCAUUCUCUUCAAUUUUACCUUUUUAAAAAGUGUCUUCUGUUAUUUGCAUUUAGAGAGUUUCUGUCGUGUGUUGUAUUUUAUGAAGUAUAAUGAAACCUUAAAUAUAGCAUUAGUGUGAAUUUGGAGUUCUAAAAGUUUAGUUUCUCUGGUUUGAAUUUCUGUUUGGAAUAUGGUUAGGAGCAUACUUUCAGAUGUUUGUAAGGAAGUAUAAGGUUUGAAACCUGUUUCAGUUUGUGUUUUAGGUAUGAAAAUGACACACUUACUAUAAGACAGAAUGAUUUGGUUAGAAACAAGUAGUCGAUUUGUAUCAACUUCAACCAGAGGGCAAGACCUAUAUCUUUUGGUAGGGUCUUUAGAAUACGUGAAAAUAGCCUUGGACUUAGGAAAUGUUAGUUUUCUAGGGGCAAGCCUUAAGUUUUCUAGGGCAUAGAUGUUUGUUGAGAAUGAUCAGUUUGUGAAUUAAGCUUAUUAACUAAAGUUUUGGGGGGCUAUGGAGGGGCAGAGAUUAGUGUUAGAUUUAGAGCAUAAUUAUUUUUCUGCUAAUCACUGUUUCUAAGCUGUUAAUAACCUUAAAGCAGAUAGGGGCAACUUUGUUUUCUUUUUCAUUAUGGCAAAAAAGAAAACAAAAAAUCAGACUUACAGUGCAUGUGUUAUAUGAAAAAUUCUGAGGCAAAAAGGAGCCAGUUUAAUUGCUUGUACAAUGUCAAGCAGAUGAAAUAUGGAAGAGUACAAUACAUACUUCUAGAGUUUUCAGGAGAAAAUGAGUUUUUAAAAGUAUGUAAUUUUAUUGCCACAUUAAAUACCAGAAGAAUGGAGGAUGUUAUUGGGCUUUUCAGUUUCUUGUAGAGAUGACAGUAUCAUUUUGUAUAAUCUUAUUUUGCAGCUGGUGGGCAGGGGGAUUUACCAAGACCAAUUAGGAAGAAUGCUAAUCCUUUCCAGUUCCUAAAAGAACUAAGGCGGUUUUCUUCCAAACAUAUAACUAGUAUGGGGGUCACAGUUUUCUAACGUGAAAGUCAGGAGUUUCACCCGUUGCUAUUCUGUUUGCUGACUAGGACCAGAAAAUAACACAGAGAAAAAUGAAAAUUAGUAAGGACUGACAUGGCUGGUUCAAUAGCUUUUCAAGACUUUCCCCUGGACUACCAACAUGUUUCUUUCAUGUGGUUUCCUGCACUAGAGAGGACUCAGUGGGUGUUUAUAUGGCACAGGUUGGAGAACACUAUGGGUAGUCUCAGGGUCUUGAUCAGAAAGGGAUUCUUCAAAGUUUGCAGCAUAGCAUCUUGCUUCAGUGUGGAUACAUUGCCUUCUUCUGUAGUAAAAUCUCUGUCUUCUCCUUAUAAGGACCCUUAUGAUUACAUUCAGGGCUCACCUGGGUAAUCCAGGCUAAUCCCCCCCAUCAAAAUCCUUAAUUUAAUCCUGUCUGCAGAGACCCUCUUGCCAUGUGAGGGAACAUAUUCACAGCUUCUGGGGAACAGAAUGUAUACAUCUUUGGGCCCAUUAUUUAACACAGGUACCAGGGAUUUCUGUACCUGUGAGAU